AUUGAACGCUGGCGGCAUGCCUUACACAUGCAAGUCGAACGGUAACAGGUCUUCGGAUGCUGACGAGUGGCGCACGGGUGAGUAAUACAUCGGAACGUGCCCGAUCGUGGGGGAUAACGCAGCGAAAGCUGUGCUAAUACCGCAUACGAUCUACGGAUGAAAGCGGGGGAUCGCAAGACCUCGCGCGGACGGAGCGGCCGAUGGCAGAUUAGGUAGUUGGUGGGAUAAAAGCUUACCAAGCCGACGAUCUGUAGCUGGUCUGAGGGGACGACCAGCCACACGGGGACUGAGACACGGCCCAGACUCCUACGGGAGGCAGCAGGGGGGAAUUUUGGACAAGGGGCGAAAGCCUGAUCCAGCCAUGCCGCGUGCAGGAUGAAGGCCUUCGGGUUGUAAACUGCUUUUGUACGGAACGAAAAAGCUCUCUCUAAUACGGGGGGUGAAUGGCGGUACCGUAAGAAUAAGCACCGGCAAACUACGG
rnacentral:rRNA from 1 species